ensembl:piRNA 21ur-2653 ncRNA
UUCCCAUUCAAAUAACUUACG